rnacentral:rRNA from 1 species
CCUGGACCCGAAGCGGGAUGAUCUAGCCCUGGGCAGGUUGAAGCGCGGGUAAGACCGCGUGGAGGACCGAACCCACCUGGGUUGAAAACCGGGGGGAUGACCUGGGGCUAGGGGUGAAAGGCCAAUCAAAUUCCGUGAUAGCUGGUUCUCUCCGAAAUGCAUUUAGGUGCAGCGUCGGUCGAUUGCGUCGCGGGGGUAGAGCUACCGGAUGCUUGCGGGCCCUUGUUGGGUACCAACAGCAGCCGAACUCCGAAUACCGUUGACGUGUAUUCCGGCAGUGAGUCGGCGGGGGAUAAGCUCCGUCGUCGAGAGGGAGACAGCCCAGACCGUCGUCUAAGGUCCCGAAGCGUGUGCUAAGUGGGAAAGGAUGUGGAGUCGCAUAGACAGCCAGGAGGUUGGCUCAGAAGCAGCCAUCCUUGAAAGAGUGCGUAACAGCUCACUGGUCUAGUGGUUCCGCGCCGACAAUGUAGCGGGGCUCAAGCACACCACCGAAGACGCGGCAGUAUUUUGUACUGGGUAGGAGAGCGUCCCAUGAGGGGCGAAGCGGCCGUGUGAACGCGCCGUGGACUUCAUGGGAGUGAGAAUGCAGACAUGAGUAGCGAGAGACGGGUGAGGAUCCCGUCCGCUGGAUGACCAAGGGUUCCGGGGCCACGUUCGUCGUCCCCGGGUGAGUCGGGUCCUAAGGCGAGGCCGACAGGCGUAGUCGAAUGGAUGAACGGGUGGAUAUUCCCGUACCGACCAUGGACCGGCAAAACCGAGACGGUGAGUACUAACCUCCGCCUCGUGGUGGUUCCUUCCUUCGGGUUGGUGUCGCCGCGUGGUGUUGGGAGCGUAGCCGUAGUAGGUCAGCGCAGGGGUGACACGGAAUGGGAGCCGGCCGCGGAGGUGGUUUUCCGUGGUCAAGCACGCAGCCAGUCAUGUAGGCAAAUCCGCAUGGCGCGCAUGGCGAGGUGUGAUGAUGGGAGCCUUUUGGCUCGAUAUCCGGUUGUCCAGGCCGUCGAGAAAAGCCUCGGCGUGAGGGCCAUGGCCGCCCGUACCCCAAACCGACACUGGUGGUCAGGUAGAGAAUACCAAGGCGAUCGAGCGAAUCCUGGUCAAGGAACUCGGCAAAUCACUCCCGUGCCUUCGGUAUAAGGGAGACCCCCGGGCGUGAAGAGGCUUGCCCUCGGAGCUUUGGGGGGUGGCACAGACCAGGGGGUAGCGACUGUUUACCAAAAACACAGGUGCAUGCGAAGGCGCAAGCCGCUGUAUAUGCACUGACGCCUGCCCGGUGCCGGAAGGUUAAGAGGAUCCGUCAACUCUUCGGAGCGAAGCGGUGAAUUCAAGCCCCGGUAAACGGCGGUGGUAACUAUAACCAUCCUAAGGUAGCGAAAUUCCUUGUCGGGUAAGUUCCGACCUGCACGAAUGGCGUAA